rnacentral:rRNA from 1 species
UACGUAGGGGGCAAGCGUUGUCCGGAUUCAUUGGGCGUAAAGAGCGUGUAGGCGGCUAGGUAGGUCGGUUGUGAAAACUGGAGGCUCAACCUUCAGACGUCGACCGAAACCAUCUGGCUAGAGUCCGGGAGAGGAGAGUGGAAUUCCUGGUGUAGCGGUGAAAUGCGCAGAUAUCAGGAAGAACACCCGUGGCGAAAGCGGCUCUCUGGAACGGGUACUGGACGCUGAGACGCGAAAGCUAGGGGAGCAAAACGGG